rnacentral:rRNA from 1 species
GAUGAACGCUGGCGGCGUGCCUAAUACAUGCAAGUCGAGCGAACAGACGAGGAGCUUGCUCCUCUGACGUUAGCGGCGGACGGGUGAGUAACACGUGGAUAACCUCCCUAUAAGACUGGGAUAACUUCGGGAAACCGGAGCUAAUACCGGAUAAUAUAUUGAACCGCAUGGUUCAAUAGUGAAAGACGGUUUUGCUGUAACUUAUAGAUGGAUCCGCGCCGCAUUAGCUAGUUGGUAAGGUAACGGCUUACCAAGGCAACGAUGCGUAGCCGACCUGAGAGGGUGAUCGGCCACACUGGAACUGAGACACGGUCCAGACUCCUACGGGAGGCAGCAGUAGGGAAUCUUCCGCAAUGGGCGAAAGCCUGACGGAGCAACGCCGCGUGAGUGAUGAAGGUCUUCGGAUCGUAAAACUCUGUUAUUAGGGAAGAACAAAUGUGUAAGUAACUAUGCACGUCUUGACGGUACCUAAUCAGAAAGCCACGGCUAACUACGUG